CAGACCAAGUCAGCUGGAGGAGCAUGGUCUUUCUUCUCCCCACUGCCAAGCGCUCCUUCAGGCUUGCCCCUAAUGAACGGUCAACUCCUGUUAAAGGUUGUGAAAAACAGUUUUUCACAGAUAAAAUCUCUUGGAUUCGGGCCAACUUAGAUGGAGACUCCACAAUUAAUUUCAUGUCUGAACUGGAGGUGUCCAGCAACAUCUCUUAUGCGAUUUGACUGGAUCGGUUUCAGUUUGUGACUCCUGAGGAUGUGGACAAGCUGCUUGGAGAGAACCAGGGACGACGAAGGAGUGAAUCCCAAGGGAAGUGCACACAACAGUGGUCAGAAAGGAACUGAGAUGCAAAGCGCUCUGGUGCCAAAAAUACCAAGUGCGCUUGCUGCACCAAGGGCAGAGGUUCAGAGUGCUUUGAAGAGCUUGUAAAUCCUUUCAUGGGGACUACUGCACAGGCACAGAGCCCACGUUGUGAAGGACACCAGACCACCACAGAGAUCUGCUACAAAUUAACAAGGUCAGAAUAUCCCAGAGCAGAU